rnacentral:rRNA from 1 species
GACGAACGCUGGCGGCGUGCUUAACACAUGCAAGUCGAACGGAAAGGCCCUGCUUUUGUGGGGUGCUCGAGUGGCGAACGGGUGAGUAACACGUGAGUAACCUGCCCUUGACUUUGGGAUAACUUCAGGAAACUGGGGCUAAUACCGGAUAGGAGCUCCUGCUGCAUGGUGGGGGUUGGAAAGUUUCGGCGGUUGGGGCUGGACUCGCGGCUUAUCAGCUUGUUGGUGGGGUAGUGGCUUACCAAGGCUUUGACGGGUAGCCGGCCUGAGAGGGUGACCGGCCACAUGGGGACUGAGAUACGGCGCAGACUCCUACGGGAGGCAGCAGUCGGGAAUAUUGCACAAUGGGCGGGAGCCAGAUGCAGCAACGCCGCGUGCGUGAUGAUGGCCUUCGGGUUGUAAACCGCUUUCGCCUGUGACGAAGCGUGAGUGACGGUAAUGGGUAAAGAAGCACCGGCUAACUACGUG